rnacentral:rRNA from 1 species
AUUGAACGCUGGCGGCAGGCCUAACACAUGCAAGUCGAACGAGUGGCGGACGGGUGAGUAAUGUCUGGGAAACUGCCUGAUGGAGGGGGCUAACUACUGGAAACGGUAGCUACUACCGCAUACCAUCAGAUGUGCCCAGAGGGGAUUAGCUUGUUGGUGGGGUAACGGCUCACCAAGGCGACGAUCCCUAGCAGGUCUGAGAGGAUGACCAGCCACACUGGAACUGAGACACGGUCCAGACUCCUACGGGAGGCAGCAGUGGGGAAUAUUGCACAAUGGGAGAAAGCCUGAUGGAGCCAUGCCGCGUGUAUGAAGAAGGCUUUCGGGUUGUAAAGUACUUUCAGCGGGGAGGCGUUACCCGCAGAAGAAGCACCGGCUAACUCCGUGCCAGCAGCCGCGGUAAUAC